CUGACAUCAAAUAUGAAAGACUAAGUGCAACGUUGUAACAAAUUUUAUUUCCGUCCAAGUUAAGAAUGAUAUGACUCAUAAAACUGCGCGAACGAACAUAAACAGUGGCGUAAUCGUCCGUAAUCGACCGACUCUAGACCGAUUUUGAAUUUGUAAACUUUCAUUGCAACGGACAGUUGACAUUGUGCUCUGGAGAAAACAAUUUGUAUCAUUCUCGAUACGGAUAUAAUUUGUAAUCUGAAAUUUUUGAUGUUUGCGCGGAGAUUCGCUGAGACAACGGUGAACGUUGGGAGGCGAGGAUGGGCGAACGGGAUAUAAAAUCUGAAAAGGAGCUAACACCGGGAGGGAUAUAGAGGCCGAGUACGAGAGAUUACCGUUGCAUAGUGCACGUUGCAUAUUAGGAACUACUGUUGGUCAGAGGACCGUCACUGUGCUCACAGUGGUCCCGAAUUAUAACGUGACAAACAAGACAGAAACACAUCUUACAAGAGUACAUUUAUUUAAUGAUUUACAUUAUAUACUAAU